rnacentral:rRNA from 1 species
GCGGUUACACGAUUAGUACAAUUGAAUAUUUUUGGUUAAUAUAGUUAUUAGUAUAUUUGAGUUUUAUUUUGAUUUUAUUAGGUGAAAUUUCAUUUUUUAGUAUAACUCUUUAUUAUGAACCUAUGAAACUUAAGAGAUAAACUAGGAUUAGAUACCCUAUUAUUUUAAGUGUUAAUUUAAAUUGCCUGGGUAAUAUUAGUUAGGGUCUUUAAACUCAAAGAAUUUGGCGGUAUUUCAUUCCAUUCAGAGGAACCUGUCUCGUAAUUGAUAGUACACAAUUAACUUUACUUAAUUUAUUUGUUUGUAUAUCUCCGUUAUCGGAAAAUCUUUUUGGAGUCAUAAUUUUCCUGUUUUUCCAUUAAAAAUUAUCUCAGGUCAAGGUGCAGUUUAUAGUUAAGUGUAUGAUGGGUUACAAUAAAUUUUUUUAUUAUGAAUUUGGUUUUGGAAUAUUCUAAUGAAGGUGGAUUUGAUAGUAAUUUAAUUUAUUUAAUUUAAUUGAUAUUGGCUCUGAAA